UACAGAGGGUGCGAGCGUUUAAUCGGAAUUACUGGGCGUAAAGCGCACGUAGGCGGACUAUUAAGUCAGGGGUGAAAUCCCGGGGCUCAACCCCGGAACUGCCUUUGAUACUGGUAGUCUCGAGUCCGGAAGAGGUGAGUGGAAUUCCGAGUGUAGAGGUGAAAUUCGUAGAUAUUCGGAGGAACACCAGUGGCGAAGGCGGCUCACUGGCUCGGUACUGACGCUGAGGUGCGAAAGCGUGGGGAGCAAACAGG
rnacentral:rRNA from 1 species